GAUGAACGCUGGCGGCGUGCCUAAUACAUGCAAGUCGAGCGAACGGACGAGAAGCUUGCUUCUCUGAUGUUAGCGGCGGACGGGUGAGUAACACGUGGAUAACCUACCUAUAAGACUGGGAUAACUUCGGGAAACCGGAGCUAAUACCGGAUAAUAUUUUGAACCGCAUGGUUCAAAAGUGAAAGACGGUCUUGCUGUCACUUAUAGAUGGAUCCGCGCUGCAUUAGCUAGUUGGUAAGGUAACGGCUUACCAAGGCAACGAUGCAUAGCCGACCUGAGAGGGUGAUCGGCCACACGGGAACUGAGACACGUCCCAGACUCCUACGGGAGGCAGCAGUAGGGAAUCUUCCGCAAUGGGCGAAAGCCUGACGGAGCAACGCCGCGUGAGUGAUGAAGGUCUUCGGAUCGUAAAACUCUGUUAUUAGGGAAGAACAUAUGUGUAAGUAACUGUGCACAUCUUGACGGUACCUAAUCAGAAAGCCACGGCUAACUACGUG
rnacentral:rRNA from 1 species